UUUUACUCAUCAAACAACAGCGCAAAGUAGUUCACAACAUGAAGAAAUUAUGACAAAAUGACUUGACAUUGACCUUCUUGACAAAAAUCUCAUUAGUUUCCUCCUUCAAAUUGCCACUGAAAUGAUUUUCAAUUAAGCUUCCAUGAAGAUAGAAUGCAAGGCUUGCUUACACCUAUAUGGGAAUUUGGGCCGGCACCAUAAUAAAACCCGGGCUAUAAGUAUAACACCCCAACUCAAACUUCCCAUUGAAUAACAAUAUAUAUAUAUAUAUAACUUUAUAAACAUAAUUUACUACUUAGUUACAAUAUACAUUCAUACAAUUUAAGUGGCAUGACAUACUUAAUAUAUAUAAGAAAUAUUUAUACAGUAGUUUAAUUCACACAAGUUUCCAAAAUGCCCCAAUGCUUUAGAUAACUCCUCUGGCCCACCUGAUAAUAUUGACUGAUGCAAAAAGAGCAAUGCACAGCUAAGGCUAUCUACAACUGCACUAACCUGAAAAAAAAAAAAUUGCUAAGGAAUGAGCUAGCGACUCAAUAAGCAUUUAAUUUACUAAACUAUAGUAUAUUAGGCUAGAAUUAUCAAAUCUUUAUCAAUACAGAAAAUUAUACCAACACUUAACUAACAAUCACAAAAUCAACCAUUUCAGUUAUUCUCAUAAACAUAUAAUUUCAUCUCACGUAAUGCAAAUAAUCUCAAACUCAACCAAGUCAAAUAAUUCAAUUCCACAUUAUUUCUAUCAAAUUAGGAUCAGAUGACUCAUCCUUACAUUUCCUCACAUUUUUAAAUUUCAGUAACCACUUGACAAGACUAUCCGCCCGGCUCAGUCUUGCCAUCUCACAUACUCGGGUAGCUAUCCGCCCGGCUCAGCUUUCCCGAUCACACAAUAUCCAUACAAAAGUCAUCAAUCCUUAAUCACAAUCAUUUCACUUCACAACACAUCACAAUCAAUUCACUUCACAACACAUCACAAUCAAUUCACUUUAUAACAAGCCAAAAACAUAACUAAUAGCAACUCAGUCAACCAAGAAAUUAUCAAGUAAUCAAACAGCAGUCCCUACUCAAUAUACACAAAGUUUAGUCUAUUAAAUACUUACCAGAAGUUAUAGGAUAACAAAGUAAUCCUAUUCUUUUUCUCUUCCCACUUCCUUGCCUUUGGAUGAACCUAUUCACAUAUUCAAUACAAAUACAAUUCAAUCACAAGGCAUAAAUAUAUAUAUAUAUAUAUAUUUACUAUCAAUAAAAUAUCACAUUUCAACAAAAUAACAUAUAUUCUAGAUAUUAAUAUGAUGCAUGAGAUGAAUGACAACAAAUCAACAUAUUUGUUGAUGAAGGCAGCUUGUAGGUACUGACUUAGAAAUUACACCAAAACUUAUGUACAAUUAAUAAAAAUCUCAUAUUUUUCAGAAUUACACUUCCAUUUUUAUAGAAACCAUAGCAGAAAGAAUCACCUCAAAAUCAUUGGUAUAGAAAUAGUUAUGGCAUUUUCUAUACAGCUGCUCAAAUUUCUAUCUAAACAGAACAGAAAAAAGUUUCCUAUUAAAUGACCAAUCAAACAAAUGAAUUUUCUGAUGAAACUCUCCAGAUAUAAAGUUAACAUUCUAAAGUUUCUAUAGACACUAAUUUUACUCAAUUUGGACUUUUCUAGCUCAAGUUGUGAAACACACAAUUAGCAACAAAUUUCUGAAUCCUAAGCCCGAUUUCUGCUUAAAACAGUUUCGGGCAGGCCAUAUUAAGUUCAACAUAUCUCACGUUAUACUCAACUAAAAAUUAUGAAAUUUUUCAGACAUAUACUACAUAUAUAAAUGAACAACUUUCAUGUUUAACUCUCUGCUUGGUUCAGCCUCUAAAUGCCUCAAAAUGUCAGCACAAAAACCAGGUCACCUGCUGAACCAAAAACAGAGCAGCAGCAAAAUCGAACCUCAUAAGUUCCUACUCACUCAACAAUCUGCAAAACCAUUUUAUAGAGAUAUUCUUGAGACAUAUACCUACAACUUUCAUGUUUGAAAAUUUUCGAGAUAAAGCCUCUAAGGUCACGAAAUCAUAAGUGAAAAAUCUGCCCAGAAAUUUCAGCUUCAAGAUCACAAGUAAAAGCAUGUUUACUCUUGAUUAAACAAUUCCAAAACACAUAAUCAUCAAUAAUUUCAUAUCAUUAACCCUAAUUUACAGCAAAAUCAAGCAAUUAAAAUUACUCACCUUUGUUUUUCUUGAUUAAGAAAGUCCAAAUCUUUCAAGCUUAAAAGAAGAAUUUGAUUUUCACUUACUAAAAAUUUUGUAGAGUUUGAUUUGGAAAAUCAAAGUUGAAGAAGGAAAGGAGAAAAAUAAGAGAGACAAAGAAGAAAAGGAAAUUGGAAAGCAU
rnacentral:lncRNA from 1 species